UACGUAGGGGGCGAGCGUUGUCCGGAAUUAUUGGGCGUAAAGAGCGCGUAGGCGGCCCGCCAAGUCAGAUGUGAAAUCCCCCGGCUCAACCGAGGACCUGCAUUUGAAACUGGUGGGCUAGAGUUCAGGAGAGGGAAGUGGAAUUCCUAGUGUAGCGGUGAAAUGCGCAGAUAUUAGGAAGAACACCGGUGGCGAAGGCGGCUUCCUGGACUGUAACUGACGCUGAGGCGCGAAAGCUAGGGGAGCGAACAGG
rnacentral:rRNA from 1 species